UCGAAUCGUACCAAGUAGCCGGC
rnacentral:miRNA from 1 species